rnacentral:rRNA from 1 species
CCUACGGGGGGCAGCAGUGGGGGAUAUUGCACAAUGGAGGAAACUCUGAUGCAGCGACGCCGCGUGAGGGAAGACGGUCUUCGGAUUGUAAACCUCUGUCAUGUGGGAGCAAAUUAAAAAGAUAGUACCACAAGAGGAAGAGACGGCUAACUCUGUGCCAGCAGCCGCGGUAAUACAGAGGUCUCAAGCGUUGUUCGGAAUCACUGGGCGUAAAGCGUGCGUAGGCUGUUUCGUAAGUCGUGUGUGAAAGGCGCGGGCUCAACCCGCGGACGGCACAUGAUACUGCGAGACUAGAGUAAUGGAGGGGGAACCGGAAUUCUCGGUGUAGCAGUGAAAUGCGUAGAUAUCGAGAGGAACACUCGUGGCGAAGGCGGGUUCCUGGACAUUAACUGACGCUGAGGCACGAAGGCCAGGGGAGCGAAAGGGAUUAGAUACCCGAGUAGUC